rnacentral:rRNA from 1 species
AUUGAACGCUGGCGGCAGGCCUAACACAUGCAAGUCGAGCGGAUGAAGGGAGCUUGCUCCUGGAUUCAACGGCGGACGGGUGAGUAAUGCCUAGGAAUCUGCCUGGUAGUGGGGGAUAACGUCCGGAAACGGGCGCUAAUACCGCAUACGUCCUGAGGGAGAAAGUGGGGGAUCUUCGGACCUCACGCUAUCAGAUGAGCCUAGGUCGGAUUAGCUAGUUGGUGGGGUAAAGGCCUACCAAGGCGACGAUCCGUAACUGGUCUGAGAGGAUGAUCAGUCACACUGGAACUGAGACACGGUCCAGACCCCUACGGGAGGCAGCAGUGGGGAAUAUUGGACAAUGGGCGAAAGCCUGAUCCAGCCAUGCCGCGUGUGUGAAGAAGGUCUUCGGAUUGUAAAGCACUUUAAGUUGGGAGGAAGGGCAGUAAGUUAAUACCUUGCUGUUUUGACGUUACCAACAGAAUAAGCACCGGCUAACUUCGUG